rnacentral:rRNA from 1 species
UACGGAGGGUGCGAGCGUUGUCCGGAAUCACUGGGCGUAAAGGGCGCGUAGGCGGCGCGGCAAGUCAACGGUGAAAGCUCGACGCUCAACGUCGAGUCGGCCGUCGAUACUGCUGGGCUUGAGCACUGUAGAGGCAGAUGGAAUUCCGGGUGUAGCGGUGGAAUGCGUAGAGAUCCGGAAGAACACCGGUGGCGAAGGCGGUCUGCUGGGCAGUAGCUGACACUGAGGCACGAAAGCGUGGGGAGCAAACAGG